rfam:Neurospora crassa OR74A unplaced genomic scaffold supercont12.8, whole genome shotgun sequence.
AACUUUUAAUAAUGGAUUUCUUAGUUCUAGUAUUAAUAAAGAACGUAGCGAAAUGUAAUAAGUAAUAUGAAUUGUAGAAUUUAGUAAAUUAUUGAAUUUUUAAAUAUAUAUUACGCUUAUUAAUAUUCUAGCGAGUAUGUUUGUUCGAGUGUUA